UGAACGGGAAGUAAAAUUGUACGCUCAGUAUAACUCAGUGGUAUUUCUAUAAUCCGAGCAAUUUAGACGUGAUAUAAGUAAUUAAAAAAUAGGAAUGCAACAAGUAAUAUUAUGAACAUAUGCUUGAGAUCAAUAAUAUAAUUUUGCUUAUUCUUUAUUCACAUCCACUAGAUUCCACAGGUUUUAGUACAUGGCAAUGGCAUUUGAUAUAUUUCAACCCAUGCAAUAGCAUGAUUCAUCUCUUUGAUCAAUACUUGAAUUCAUUUCAAAAUUCACAUCUCAUAUCAUCAUUUCAUAUUUCAUUUCUCAUCUUUGCCAUCUCAAUAUCAAAU
rnacentral:lncRNA from 1 species